GAAUUUCAGCAGCACAUAUUCUAAAAUUGAAAUGAUACAGAGAAGAUUGGCAUGGCCCCACACAAAGAUGACACACAAAUUCAUGAAGUGUUCCAUAUUUUU